GACAAGGGCUGUACAUAUUUUCCAUCAGCUUGUUCAACUAUACUGCACAGGCUCAUUGAGAACAGAAAUCUCAAGUAGAACAAAAGGGUAAAAGUCCCCUUGAUUUUGAUUUCCAGUGUGAAUACAAACCAUGAAAGUGUGGCCUAUUGAUCCUUUAGUCCUUUAGAAUUUAAAGCUAGAG
rnacentral:ncRNA from 1 species